AAGAAGCGGUCAAAUAGGUCCAGAUUGUUGUGUCUUUUUAGUUUAACUCGUCUACUCUUGAGGCAAAAAAGCAUGCAGGAACGGCCGCCCUAAGUAGUUAAACCGGUAUAUAAACAAAAUAUAGAUAUACGUAACAUAUAUAUAUUUUUUAAGUAAUAAAAUAUGUUCAAUGGGUCAAUAUGAGUACGAAAAAAAACUUAAACACAAGCAUAUUGUGGUCCAUGAAAAGGCCCUCUGGGAAUAGAACCUCCGCAACAGGAAACGCCCCAAUACUCAUUUUCCCAUCAUAGAAACAUUUGUGUGAAUACGGCUCUUGGGCUUAGAUUCUGCUUUUUAUCUGUUUAUCCAACAGGUCCAGCAACAAGCUACUGAAGUUAGAGUCAAACUUGCUGAUCGUUGCUUCGAAACCAGAGUCAGACUGCAGAGCAUCGACGUGCUCUGCCAAGAACUGAAAGGGAAAAAAAAAUAAUUCAGGAAAUCUCUAGGGGUGUGCUGUCAUUCAAGGAGAAAUUUCUACAUGGGGACUCACCUUGGAGAACUUCCAGUGCAUUAUGAGAAACAGCAAAAUGUAAACUGAAUGCAUUAAAAACAAAGCACCUGAAGCCGCUCCUUGACGUCUACGCACCUGCAUGCAGUUUGUGAACAUGACGCACACGGAC